rnacentral:rRNA from 1 species
AUAUCAAUAAGCGGAGGAAAAGAAACCAACAGGGAUUGCCUCAGUAACGGCGAGUGAAGCGGCAACAGCUCAAAUUUGAAAUCUGGCGUCUUCGGCGUCCGAGUUGUAAUUUGUAGAGGGAGUCUCGGGUGGAGCGCCGGUCCAAGUCCCUUGGAACAGGAUACCAGAGAGGGUGAGAGUCCCGUAUCUGGCCGGUUGCGACCCCGUGUGAGGCCCCUUCGACGAGUCGAGUUGUUUGGGAAUGCAGCUCUAAAUGGGUGGUAAAUUCCAUCUAAAGCUAAAUACUGGCCAGAGACCGAUAGCGCACAAGUA